GGCCGCGUCCUGUCUCUGCUUGUAGUCCAUCUUGUUGAGGAAGAUCUCGAGUGCCUGCAGUUCUUGUUUCAGCGAUUCAACAUCGUCCGCCACCUUCCAAAUUAGAGGAAUUUCUUGGCCGAGUCGGGGGAUGACACUGGAAUGAGGCCUGAAACUCGGUGAAGCUGGAUGUAGUCAGUCUCUGAUUGCCUGCAGCCUUUCUUUGUCAUUCUCUCCUCCUUGAGUCAACCAGUCAGCUGUCUCGACAUAAAUUGAGACGGUUACUUCCCACAUAUGGUUCCGGCACGGAGGAAGCUAACUCGAACAGCUUCAGCAAUCUCCUUCAAGCAAGUAGAACACCGGUCACUCCAUUCAUGGUGGAGGUCGAAUGAAGCGCACCGAGGAAUCCCUCCAUGUUAUGUACUCUCUUCGGACCAAAAAAAAAGCAGUUGUGAGCAAACAUUUCUACUUAACUUCGCUCCGGAAGUAGACUCCAGGUUUCGAAACCGUUUCUGGGGUUAGCUUUUUCAUUGUAUAGCUUUUUGCGAAUCCCCGCCCCUCGAGGAAAAAAUAGUGAUCCUGUAAAUAACUAGUUUUGUGUUUUUCGUGUAAAUCAUUGGAGGUGUCGUCGCGAAGAUUAAAGCUUGCGGAAUCUCUUCUAUGUAUCUCAAAUGUGUGUGCAAGUACAGGCAUGUUCAUAUGUAAUUUUGUAUGUAUGUAUAUAAAUGUAUAUAUGUUUAGAAUUGGAGUAAAACAUGGUUUGUUUUAUUUCUUUUAUUGUAUCUUCUGAGGAUGUAAAAAUGUUGUUCUAUAAUUAGGUAAAAAAAUGUAUGGUGGACCUGGUGGUCUCCUAACUAUACACAAUUUUGCAUUUGGUCCUUGUACUCGAAUAUUUUUCUCUUAA